rnacentral:rRNA from 1 species
GACGAACCGAGCGAACGUUGUUCGGAAUCACUGGGCUUAAAGGGCGCGUAGGCGGGUGCUCAAGUCCGUGGUGAAAUCCUCCGGCUCAACCGGAGAACUGCCUCGGAUACUGGGUGCCUCGAGGGUGGUAGGGGUAUGCGGAACUAUCGGUGGAGCGGUGAAAUGCGUUGAUAUCGAUAGGAACUCCGGUGGCGAAGGCGGCAUACUGGACCAUCUCUGACGCUGAGGCGCGAAAGCCAGGGGAGCAAACGGG